UACGAAGGGGGCUAGCGUUGCUCGGAAUUAUUGGGCGUAAAGAGCUCGUAGGCGGUGUGUCACGUCGGCCGUGAAAACCUGCAGCUUAACUGUGGGCGUGCGGUCGAUACGGGCAUCACUGGAGUUCGGCAGGGGAGACUGGAAUUCCUGGUGUAGCGGUGAAAUGCGCAGAUAUCAGGAGGAACACCGGUGGCGAAGGCGGGUCUCUGGGCCGAUGACUGACGCUGGAGGAAGCGAAAGCGUGGGGAGCAAACAGG
rnacentral:rRNA from 1 species